rnacentral:sRNA from 2 species
CUCCCAUGAUACCAGUUAACGGUUACAACACCAAAGCUAACCUAACCAAACUAACCCUGAAGCCACCUGAGCUAAACCUGGACUAACUUCGCAGAACUAACUAACUUACUUUGUACGCAAACUGCGAAAGGAGAAAAAAAAAGGGAUUCAGGAACAAGUUCCCCGAAACCGAACUCGUUCUUGUUCCCGCGUUCCUCUGUGCAGCGUAUUCCGUUCAGUCUGACUGACUACCUGGGUUCUGGGCCCUUUUUUAUAUAUUUUAUUUUUUUAAAAAUUUUUUUUUUUCGCCGAUUGUUGAUUUUUCGAUCACUGGGUUGGAAGAAUGCUUGAGGGAGAAGGUAGGUAAGGGGGAAGGGUUUAGUUAUUUAUUUUAUGUUUUUCCUUUCACUUCCAUCUCUCGCUCUCUCCCCCUCUCUUUGUUGAUUGAUUGAAUUUGUUCCCCACAUUUGAGACGGCUCGCGACGGCGCAGGAUAUUUUAUCAAUAACACCUCCACUGAGAGAGUGGAUGCAGUGCAGUUACAGAUGAUCUCAUGCACGAGAAUUGAUUCGGUCACGGUUUUCAUCCAUGGGAUGUUUCUUUGAGAAAAUUGAAUGAACGGGUGAACCACUGAAGAAGGGGAAGAGGGGA